CCUGCUGAUUUGCAUGUCCCAGGAGUACAGCCCAUAGCCUUCAAAAAUUUUUAAUAGGCUGCUCACACCCUAGGCAGGAGUCAAUCCCAGUCAGGACACAGCAUGGACAUGAGGGUCCUCACUCAGCUUCUGGGGCUCCUGCUGCUCUGGCUACCAGGUGGCCAAUGUGACAUCCAGUUGACCCAGUCUCCCUCUGUGUCUGCGUCUUUAGGAGAGAAAGUCACCAUGACUUGCAAAGCCAGCCAGGGUAUUAGCAAUUACUUACACUGGUAUCAGCAGAAACCUGGCCAAACUCCUAAACUCUUAAUCCGUUAUGCAACCACUUUGCAGUCUGGUAUCCCCUCCAGGUUCAGUGGCAGUGGAUCUGGGACAGAUUUCACUCUUGCCAUCAGCAGCCUGCAGCCUGAAGAUGUUGCGACCUAUUACUGUCAGCAGAGUAGCAAUUUGCCUCCCACAGUGAUGCAAACCAUAACAAAAACUUCUCAGAGAAGCAGAAGUGUGAAACCAGGCUGCCCCUGUGUCUCUAUCUUGUGACCU